rnacentral:rRNA from 1 species
AGCGGGGGAUAACUAUUGGAAACGAUAGCUAAUACCGUAUAACAAUGGAUGACUCAUGUCAUUUAUUUGAAAGGGGCAAUUGCUCCACUACAAGAUGGACCUGCGUUGUAUUAGCUAGUAGGUGAGGUAACGGCUCACCUAGGCGACGAUACAUAGCCGACCUGAGAGGGUGAUCGGCCACACUGGGACUGAGACACGGCCCAGACUCCUACGGGAGGCAGCAGUAGGGAAUCUUCGGCAAUGGGGGCAACCCUGACCGAGCAACGCCGCGUGAGUGAAGAAGGUUUUCGGAUCGUAAAGCUCUGUUGUAAGUCAAGAACGAGUGUGAGAGUGGAAAGUUCACACUGUGACGGUAGCUUACCAGAAAGGGACGGCUAACUACGUGCCAGCAGCCGCGGUAAUACGUAGGUCCCGAGCGUUGUCCGGAUUUAUUGGGCGUAAAGCGAGCGCAGGCGGUUUGAUAAGUCUGAAGUUAAAGGCUGUGGCUCAACCAUAGUUCGCUUUGGAAACUGUCAAACUUGAGUGCAGAAGGGGAGAGUGGAAUUCCAUGUGUAGCGGUGAAAUGCGUAGAUAUAUGGAGGAACACCGGUGGCGAAAGCGGCUCUCUGGUCUGUAACUGACGCUGAGGCUCGAAAGCGUGGGGAGCGAACAGGAUUAGAUACCCUGGUAGUCCACGCCGUAAACGAUGAGUGCUAGGUGUUGGAUCCUUUCCGGGAUUCAGUGCCGCAGCUAACGCAUUAAGCACUCCGCCUGGGGAGUACGACCGCAAGGUUGAAACUCAAAGGAAUUGACGGGGGCCCG